rnacentral:rRNA from 1 species
GAAAGACGACAAGACCCUAUUGAACUUAACUUAAGUUAAACUGGGGCAGUUAAUUAAUUAAUAUUUUAAUAUAACUAAUUAAAAAUUAAUCCAAUAUAAUUGAAUUAAUCAAGUUACCAUAGGGAUAACAGCGUAAUAAAUUUUCAAAGACCAUAUAUAAAAAUAUGUUUGCGACCUCGAUGUUGAAUUAAUAACCUAGUUGGAGCAAAGACUAAAUUAGGAAGUCUGUUCGACUUUUAAAAAAUUACAUGAUUUGAGUUCAGACCGGUGUAAGCCAGGUCGGUUUCUAUCUUCUUAAAAAUUUCUUACAGUACGAAAGGGCCCAAGAAAAUAA